rnacentral:rRNA from 1 species
UACAGAGGAUGCAAGCGUUGUCCGGAAUCAUUGGGCGUAAAGAGCGCGUAGGCGGUCCGGUAAGUCCGCUCUGAAAGUCCGGGGCUCAACCCCGGGAGGCGGGCGGAUACUGUCGGGCUAGAGUCCGGAAGAGGCGAGUGGAAUUCCUGGUGUAGCGGUGAAAUGCGCAGAUAUCAGGAGGAACACCAAUGGCGAAGGCAGCUCGCUGGGACGGUACUGACGCUGAGGCGCGAAAGCGUGGGGAGCAAACAGG